GUAGUCCACGCCGUAAACGAUGUCGACUUGGAGGUUGUUCCCUUGAGGAGUGGCUUCCGGAGCUAACGCGUUAAGUCGACCGCCUGGGGAGUACGGCCGCAAGGUUAAAACUCAAAUGAAUUGACGGGGGCCCGCACAAGCGGUGGAGCAUGUGGUUUAAUUCGAUGCAACGCGAAGAACCUUACCUACUCUUGACAUCCAGAGAACUUAGCAGAGAUGCUUUGGUGCCUUCGGGAACUCUGAGACAGGUGCUGCAUGGCUGUCGUCAGCUCGUGUUGUGAAAUGUUGGGUUAAGUCCCGCAACGAGCGCAACCCUUAUCCUUUGUUGCCAGCGAUUCGGUCGGGAACUCAAAGGAGACUGCCGGUGAUAAACCGGAGGAAGGUGGGGAUGACGUCAAGUCAUCAUGGCCCUUACGAGUAGGGCUACACACGUGCUACAAUGGCGCAUACAAAGAGAAGCGACCUCGCGAGAGCAAGCGGACCUCAUAAAGUGCGUCGUAGUCCGGAUCGGAGUCUGCAACUCGACUCCGUGAAGUCGGAAUCGCUAGUAAUCGUGGAUCAGAAUGCCACGGUGAAUACGUUCCCGGGCCUUGUACACACCGCCCGUCACACCAUGGGAGUGGGUUGCAAAAGAAGUAGGUAGCUUAACCUUCGGGAGGGCGCUUACCACUUUGUGAUUCAUGACUGGGGUGAAGUCGUAACAAGGUAACC
rnacentral:rRNA from 1 species